UAAAAGGGCUUCUGUUGUGAGCGGCACACUCUAUAGAGCAGUUUGAUUGCUCUACGUGUGGAAUCGACAUCAACAGAUUUCAGGAGCAUACUUUUUUGGUACUUCGGCAGCAGGUGAUCAUUGGUCUUGGUGCCCGA